AGUCGAACGAUGAUGCCCAGCUUGCUGGGCGGAUUAGUGGCGAACGGGUGAGUAAUACGUGAGUAACCUGCCCUUGACUCUGGGAUAAGCCUGGGAAACUGGGUCUAAUACUGGAUACUACCUCUUACCGCAUGGUGGGUGGUGGAAAGGGUUUUACUGGUUUUGGAUGGGCUCACGGCCUAUCAGCUUGUUGGUGGGGUAAUGGCUCACCAAGGCGACGACGGGUAGCCGGCCUGAGAGGGUGACCGGCCACACUGGGACUGAGACACGGCCCAGACUCCUACGGGAGGCAGCAGUGGGGAAUAUUGCACAAUGGGCGGAAGCCUGAUGCAGCGACGCCGCGUGAGGGAUGACGGCCUUCGGGUUGUAAACCUCUUUCAGUAGGGAAGAAGCGAGAGUGACGGUACCUGCAGAAGAAGCGCCGGCUAACUACGUGCCAGCAGCCGCGGUAAUACGUAGGGCGCAAGCGUUGUCCGGAAUUAUUGGGCGUAAAGAGCUCGUAGGCGGUUUGUCGCGUCUGCUGUGAAAGCCCGGGGCUCAACCCCGGGUCUGCAGUGGGUACGGGCAGACUAGAGUGCAGUAGGGGAGACUGGAAUUCCUGGUGUAGCGGUGAAAUGCGCAGAUAUCAGGAGGAACACCGAUGGCGAAGGCAGGUCUCUGGGCUGUUACUGACGCUGAGGAGCGAAAGCAUGGGGAGCGAACAGGAUUAGAUACCCUGGUAGUCCAUGCCGUAAACGUUGGGCACUAGGUGUGGGGGACAUUCCACGUUUUCCGCGCCGUAGCUAACGCAUUAAGUGCCCCGCCUGGGGAGUACGGCCGCAAGGCUAAAACUCAAAGGAAUUGACGGGGGCCCGCACAAGCGGCGGAGCAUGCGGAUUAAUUCGAUGCAACGCGAAGAACCUUACCAAGGCUUGACAUUCACCGGACCGCCCCAGAGAUGGGGUUUCCCUUCGGGGCUGGUGGACAGGUGGUGCAUGGUUGUCGUCAGCUCGUGUCGUGAGAUGUUGGGUUAAGUCCCGCAACGAGCGCAACCCUCGUUCUAUGUUGCCAGCACGUGAUGGUGGGGACUCAUAGGAGACUGCCGGGGUCAACUCGGAGGAAGGUGGGGAUGACGUCAAAUCAUCAUGCCCCUUAUGUCUUGGGCUUCACGCAUGCUACAAUGGCCGGUACAAAGGGUUGCGAUACUGUGAGGUGGAGCUAAUCCCAAAAAGCCGGUCUCAGUUCGGAUUGAGGUCUGCAACUCGACCUCAUGAAGUCGGAGUCGCUAGUAAUCGCAGAUCAGCAACGCUGCGGUGAAUACGUUCCCGGGCCUUGUACACACCGCCCGUCAAGUCACGAAAGUUGGUAACACCCGAAGCCGGUGGCCUAACCCCUUGUGGGAGGGAGCC
rnacentral:rRNA from 1 species